rnacentral:rRNA from 2 species
UACGUAGGCAGCGAGCGUUGUUCGGAGUUACUGGGCGUAAAGGGUGUGUAGGCGGUCCUCUAAGUUUGGUGUGAAAUCUCCCGGCUUAACCGGGAGGGUGCGCCGAAAACUGGGGGACUAGAGUGCGGGAGGGGAGAGUGGAAUUCCUGGUGUAGCGGUGAAAUGCGUAGAUAUCAGGAGGAACACCGGUGGUGUAGACGGCUCUCUGGACCGUAACUGACGCUGAGACACGAAAGCGUGGGUAGCAAACAGG